rnacentral:rRNA from 1 species
UACGUAGGGGGCGAGCGUUAAUCGGAAUUACUGGGCGUAAAGCGUGCGCAGGCGGCUUUGCAAGACAGAUGUGAAAUCCCCGGGCUUAACCUGGGAACUGCAUUUGUGACUGCAUGGCUAGAGUGCGGCAGAGGGGGAUGGAAUUCCGCGUGUAGCAGUGAAAUGCGUAGAUAUGCGGAGGAACACCGAUGGCGAAGGCAAUCCCCUGGGCCUGCACUGACGCUCAUGCACGAAAGCGUGGGGAGCAAACAGG